rnacentral:rRNA from 1 species
UACGAAGGGGGCUAGCGUUGUUCGGAAUUACUGGGCGUAAAGCGCACGUAGGCGGGUCGUUAAGUCAGGGGUGAAAUCCCAGAGCUCAACUCUGGAACUGCCUUUGAUACUGGCGACCUAGAGUUCGGAAGAGGUUAGUGGAAUUCCCAGUGUAGAGGUGAAAUUCGUAGAUAUUGGGAAGAACACCAGUGGCGAAGGCGGCUAACUGGUCCGAUACUGACGCUGAGGUGCGAAAGCGUGGGGAGCGAACGGG